rnacentral:lncRNA from 1 species
GGGUACUCCCCGAGAUCGGGUUCUUUGUUGUUGCUGUUUUUUGUUGUUGUUGUUGUUUUAUUGUGGCCUCACUGCAUGUUUUUUUAAAUUACUCAAUGAAUUUUAUUAUAUUUAUAGUUGUACAACAAGCAUCACGACCCAAUUGUAUAGCAUUUCCAUCCCAAACCACCAGUGCAUCCCUCUACCCCCCAACCUGACUCAUUUGGAAACCAUAAGUUUUUCAAAGUCUGUGAGUCAGUAUCAGUUCUGCAAAGAAGUUCACUGUGUCCUUUUUUUAGAUUCCACAUGUAAGUGAUAGCGUAUGAUGCUGGUGUCCCACUGUCUGACUGAUUUCACUUAGCAUGGUAAUUUCUAGGACCAUCCAUGUUGCUGCAAAUGCCAUAAUUUCUUUCCUUUUAAUGGCUGAGUAAUAUUCCAUUGCAAGUAUGUACCACCUCUUCUUUAGCCCCUCCUUUGUUGAAGGACAUUUAGGUUGUUUCCAUGUCUUGGCUAUUGUAUAGAGUGCUGCAGUGAACACUGGAGUACAUGUAUCUUUUCAAGACAUGGUUUUCUCUGGAUAGAUGCCCAGGAGUGGGAUUGCUAGAUCAAGUGUUAAUUCUAUUUUUAGGUUUUUUUUAAACUUUAUUUUUUAAAUUACUCAAUGAAUUUUAUUACAUUUAUAGGUGUACAAUAAUCAUCACAACCAAAUUUUACAGCAUUUCCAUCCCAAACCCUCAGUGCAUCCCCCUACCCUCCAACCUGUCUCAUUUGGAAACCAUAAGUUUUUCAAAGUCUGUGAGUCAGUAUCUGUUCUGCAAAGUUCAUUCUGUCCUUUUUUUUAGAUUCCACAUGUAAAUGAUAGCAUUCAAUGUAGGUGUCUCAUUGUCUGACUGACUUCACUUAGCAUGAUAAUUUCUAGGUCCAUCCAUGUUGCUGCAAAUGCCAUAAUUUCUUUCCUUUUAAUGGCUGAGUAAUAUUCCAUUGUGUGUAUGUACCACCUCUUCUUUAGCCACCCCUCUGUUGAAGGACAUUUAGGUUGUUUCCAUGUCUUGGCUAUUGUAUAGAGUGCUGCCAGAACACUGGAGUGCAUGUGUCUUUUGAAGUCAAGGUUUUCUCUGGAUAGAUGCCCAGGAGUAGGAUUGCUGGAUCAGAUGGGAGUUCUGUUUUUAGGUUCUGAGGCAUCUCCAUACUGUUUUCCACAGUGGUUGCACCAAUUUACAAUCCCACCAACAGUGUAAUAGGGUUCCCUUUUCUCCACACCCUCUCCAGCGUUUAAUAUUUGUAGACUUUUUGAUGAUGGCCAUUCUGGCUGGUGUAAGGUGGUACCUCAUAGUGGUUUUGAUUUGUAUUUCUCUAAUAAUUAGUGAUGUUGAGGAUCUUUUCAUAUGUUUUUGGCCAUCUGUAUGUGUUCUUUGGAGAAUUGUCUGUUUAGAGCUUCUGCCCAUUUUUUGAUGGAGCUGUUCAUAUUUUUGGUAUUGAGCUGCAGAAGGUGUUUAUAAAUUUUGGAGAUUAAUCCCUUGUCAGGGAUUAAUAUUCGCUUCAUUUGCAAAUAUUUUCUCCCAUUCUGUGGGUUGUCUUUUCGUUUUGUUUAGGGUUUCCUUUGCUAAACUUUUAAGUGUUAGGAAGUGUUCUAAUUUCAUUCUUUUACAUGUGGCUGUACAGUUUUCCAAGCACCACUUAUUAAAGGGACUGUCUUUUCUCCAUUGUAUAUUCUUGCCUCCUUUGUCAUAGAUUAGCUGACCCAUGGGUGCAUGGGUUUAAUUCUGGGAUUUCUAUCCUGUUCCACUGAUCUAUAUUUCUGUCUUUGUGCCAGUACUAUAUGGUUUUGAUAACUGUAGCUUUGUACUAUAGCCUUAAGUCAGGGAGCCUGAUUCUUCCAGCUCCAUUUUUCUUUCUCAGGAUGGCUUUAGCUAUUCUGGUUCUUUUGUGCUUGCAAACAAACUUUAAAAUAUUUUGUUCAAGUUCUGUGAAAAAUGUCCUUGCUACUUUGAUAGGGCUUGCUUUAAUCUGUAGAUUGCCUUGGGUAGUAUAGUCAUUUUGAUACCCCAUAGAUUUUUUAUGGUUGUAUUUUCAUUGUCGUUUGUCUCAAGGUAAUUUUUAAUUUCCUCUCUGACUUCACCAUUGACUCAUUGGGGGUUUUUUUGGUUUGUUUUUCUGGCUACACUCAUGACAUAUGGAAGUUCCCAGGCCAAACACUGAAUUCAAGCUACAGCUACAAUCUACAUCACAGCUACAAUAAUGCCAGAUCCUUAACUCACUGUGCUAGGCCAGGAUUGAACCCAAGCCUCCGCAGUGACCUGAGCUGCUGCAUAUUCUUAACACACUAUGCCACAGCAGGAAUUCCCAACCUGUUAGUUUUUUAGUAGCAUGUUGUUUAGUCUCCAUGUAAUCUUUUUUUCUCAUUUAUUUUUCUGUGAUUGAUUUCUAG